rnacentral:lncRNA from 1 species
AAAGGGGAACAACGGGUAUAUCACACCCCCGUCUACAGGGGAACAACGGGUAUAUCACACCCCCGUCUACAGGGGAACAACGGGUAUAUCACCCCCCCCGUCUACAGGGGAACAACGGGUAUAUCACCCCCCGUCUACAGGGGAACAACGGGUAUAUCACCCCCCAUCUACAGGGGAACAACGGGUAUAUCACCCCCCGUCUACAGGGGAACAACGGGUGUAUCACCCCCCCCGUCUACAGGGGAACAACGGGUAUAUCACACCUCCCCCCCGUCUACAGGUGAACAACGGGUAUAUUACACCCCGUCUACAGGGGAACAACGGGUAUAUCACACCCCCGUCUACAGGGGAACAACGGGUAUAUCACACCCCCCCGUCUACAGGGGAACAACGGGUAUAUCACAUCCCCCCGUCUACAGGGGAACAACGGGUAUAUCAC